GAGUGCGUCCCCGCCCGCCUUUCCGGUCGCUCGGCCCUGAAAAAACAUCCGCGCAGCCGGAGAAAGGUUUUCGCGGCCGGCGACGAUCGCCGGCCUUCGCGCGCCGUGGCUUCGUGGCAUCGCUAUCGAGGCAUCACGCCGGCGUCCGGCAUCACGCCGCGCGUCUGUACAACGAUUCCGCGUCGCGCGGCCGCCACCCCCCGCCCCGCGUCGGCCGCCGCACCGCGCGCUCGUCGCGCGGCUUUAUUAGGGUUCGACCGUCGCCAUCGCGCUCGUCGUCGCGCGCGCUGACCCCCACCGCCCCCCUCCCCGUCUCGCGCAACAGAGAAGAAGAACCCGUCGUCAUGGAGGAGACCGCCGAGGAGGCCGCCGCCGAGGAGCCCAUGGACCUCAUGUCCGCGCUCCAGAUGGUCCUCAAGAAGGCCCUCGCCGAGGACGGCCUCCACCGAGGCCUCCGCGAGGCGUGCAAGGCGAUCGAGUCCCGCAAGGCGCUCCUCUGCGUCCUCGCGCAGGACUGCGACCAGGCGGACUACACCAAGCUCAUCCAGGCGCUGUGCAACGAGGUCAACGUGCACCUCAUCCGCGUCCCGCAGGCGGUGCAGCUCGGCGAGUGGGCCGGUCUGUGCAAGCUGGACGCCGAGGGCACCGCGCGCAAGGUUGUCAAGUGCUCGUGCGUCGUCGUGUCCGACUACGGCGAGGAGACCGAGGGGCUCGCGAUGCUCCAGGAGUUCCUCAAGAACGCGUCCGCGUAAACGAACGCGGCGACGACCGCGCACCGUUCCGUCUUCGAGGCUGGUUUGGUAUUACGAUGAAGCGCGGUAGCUCGUUGUAACAAGGCAACCCUAUCGCGCGACUGAAGACGCAGUAGUGUACACGCGCGCUCUUUCCCCG
rnacentral:lncRNA from 1 species